UGCUCAAAUACGUGUACCUCGAAACUUAAUUUUGUUCGCCUGCAUCAAUCAUCCAGUUCUGGUCUGACUUCAUUUUGCAAGGUCAGUGUGAGCAAUAUUUGCAUUCCACACUAUAUCAUGACCUUUUCUCCAUUUUAUGGGUACCUGCAAAACUAAUUGAAUUAAACAGGGCCACUGAACUUACAGUAACAAGAAUGUCCAGCUACACAAUAGAGCAAGCAAAAUUCAAACAUUUUCUUGUGGCCAGAUUAAAUCUAAAUGUACAUGCACAAGACAUCUUGACCACAAAAUGUAUAAUCACUAAAUUAGGCGGUUCAGCUUGAAGAUAUAUGUUCAUAUGGUGAGUGUAGUACCCAACUCCAGCAACUUUUUAGCUCAGAGAGUAAACGGCCUUAGAAUUUAACAGGAAAAAUCUACAUACAACUCCCUCUAUAACAAAAUAUAAUACAGUUUUGUAUUUCCGACAGCUCCCAAAUCUCUGUAAAAGUACAAUUCUGCCCUCACCAUUGUUCUGCUCCCAGAUCUAUUUGAAUUUUAACCUCGCCGUCGUCAGCACCUCGUGCCUCGCCCAGCAACUCACGCCUCACUAUUUCCCAGGCACUGCUUGCCGCACCGCACCCAGGCACUCCUCCUUGGCCAGGCGCCCAGGUGGAGGCCACCGCUGCUGGCGCUCGUCCUAGCCGCGCUGGCCUAGGCACUCCUCGCCGCCUAGAGGCGCUGCUGGCCCAGGCACUCCUCGCUGCCCAGAGCACUCCUCGCCUAGCAGCACCUUCUCAUCUGCAAACUGAUUCAAAUUGAUUUCAGAGGAGCCGCAUAGGAGGCGGAUCAAGCGGAGCAGAGACAGUUACUGUACCAAACUGAUUCAAACUGUGCAGUUACUGUAAAUUCACAACAAUUACAGUUAUUGUACAGCUAACAAACUGUGCUCCAGUUACUUGUACUGGAGGAGUAACAAACUGUACAAACAAAAACAGAAACAAAAACUAUACAAACUGAUCUGGACAGAAGCAGUACUAAGAACAGAAUAUUUGCACUAAACUGAAAUUAACCUAACAUUUGCAGAUGCAGAAGCAGUACUAAGAACAGAAUAUUUGCACUAAACUGAAAUUAACCUAACAUUUGCAGAUGCAGAAGCAGUACUCCAAGACAUGCAUGGCUCAUCUACUCCAGAUACAAGUCCUACAAGCUUUAAGUGUUGAUCGUACAAGCCUGCUCCUAAACUUUCAGAGUACAAGCCCUAAACAAUUAUUUAUGCACAUUUCAGAGUUGACAGCAUGCAUCAUCUUCUCCUAAAUAAUUUUUGCAUCAUCUAAAUACUCUAACUACUGCAUCAUCUAUCUGCAUCAUCUGUGUACUCUUAACUAUUGCAUCAUCAACAAUAUUCAGUAAAUACUCUAACUGAACUAGGUGAUUCAAGCACAUGCAUCACUACACUGGAGUACUCUGCACAUGCAUCUCUACAUUGGAGUACUCCUAGCACAAGCGUCAAGGAAUCAUCUACUCCAUCUGCAAUACUCCUAAAAUGAAAAAUAAAAUAAACUGCUAAGCAUUACUCCUUCUGAAAAACAUAUGAAAAUAAUAAUAUGCUAAACUAAAAAGAAUCAUCUGCUAAACUGAACUAUGGCUUCAGUUAUGUUCAUUUUAGCAGCAGUACUACAACAUCUACUCUAGCAACAAUAAAGGAUGAGUAAAUGUUGGAAUUUCAAACCAUGUACACUAUGCAACAGUACAAUCCAUAAAAAAUAGUGCUACUCCUUUCAGUUACAAAGACCAUCCCUACUACUCCCUCCGUUCGGAAUUAGUUGUCGCAAAAAUAGAUGUAUCUAGAUGUAUUUUAGUUCUAGAUACAUCCAUUUCCGAGACAAGUAAUUCCGAACGGAGGGAGUAUAUUGCAAAAACUAGACUGAGGAGACGCAGUACUGUAAGUGUCGGAUAAGCAACAUGAAAAUCAAUGUUGGAGUAAUUGUCUUACACCUAAUCAGUGCAGACGCAGCAACCGCAUCUUCACGAGCUGCCUCGUCGUCCAUAUCCCACAGUUCUUCCCUUCGCAACAUACAUCCUACUCCCAUCUGCAUCCCAUCAAGAAUCACAACCAUAUCCCAUCUGCAUCCAUAUCCCAUCCUCACAAGAAUCACAGCAUACUAUACUCCUAAUCAAGAAUCUACCCACGCAGACAGUACGAGAAAGAUGCACACCUCGUGGGUCUUGCCGUCGAGCGUAGAGCAUGGUAGUCGACUGGGACGGGUGCGGGCUCGCUCUCAGGUGCCGUCGAGAUGGAGGGGGGCUCCAUCGAAGAGAGCCUGUCGGGGACGGCAGCGUCCAGUACGGGCGCUCCUCCUUGCAGGUCGAGGGCGAUGAGGAGCGCCGGCGUUCAUUGCAGCCGUUGUCGGGUAGGAGAAGUCCGCCCUGCCCGCGCUCCGCCUGCUCCUCCUCAACCUCGGUAAAGAAAUCUUUGGAGCAGGCGACGCGUGCGAGAGGGAGAGAAGGUGGCGACGCGCGUCCGUCGGAGGGAGGCGGCGACGCGGGCGAGAGGGAGGCGGUUCGUCGGACUAGAGCUAGGGAUUUGGUGGAGGGGAAUGAGAGAGUGGUGCGGAGAGAGUGAGGGGAACGAGAGCGUUGUGCGGCGUCCGGUGUUGUGCUAUAUUGGGAAGUAAAGAAAAACCGAUACGCGACAGAAAACGUGCAAUGAUCCAGAAAAGUGUGUUAUGUAGUACUUUUCAGCGAUAUAUUUUGUUAGAGCAUUUACAAUCGGACUUGGCAAAUCCGGCCCCUUAAACACCCGCGGACGUGCCCGGGUGCGUCCGUGGGCAGUGACCGGGCACUCCUAAAAAAAUACAAUCCACAUCCGGACACCUCAAUUAGCAUAUCUCAAAUCCAUACAAACUCAUGCAACUACGUCGACACAUACGCAUCGUCCGGCUACUCCAUCACACUACACUAAACAUGCCAUCGGACUACCAAAAUUUGGCAUGUUUGGCUAUGGUGGAGUUCAUCCACGGCUGCCCUUGCCCUUCCCGACGCCCUUGUCGUCCUUCUCGCGGAAGUAUCGGUCGAAGACGCAGUACGGAUCGAGCCGGAUCUGCUCGUCACCGGAGCUGUCCUCGCAGUCGUUGUCCUCCUUCUCCUCCUUCGGUGGCAGUCCGUUCAUGGCACAGACCGCCCGAUUCUGCUAUAGGGCGAGGGCGCGCGUGGUCCUCCGCUGCAGUUUCUUACAAAUGUGGGCGUGGAUGGCUUCCUCCUCUUCGGCCGCCCUCGUCGUUGCAUCAGCCGCCUUCGCCGCCGCCAUUUCCGCCGCUAUACCAGCCUCAGCGGCCCUUAUCGUCUCCUUCCCACAGCGUGCUGCCUGUUCCCGGUGAGACUCGUAGUCUGCCCGACCGGUGAUGGGGAAGGAGAAGUGUUUCGGCUGCCGGGACCGCGAGGAUCCAGCACCAGAGGACCUGAGCGCCCGGUGAGCAGACGCUAUGGCUUCACGACGGACGGAUCCAUCUGUCGGUCGGGUGCUGUCCUCCCAGGGGCUGCGGAGUGUGUGGACUGCCAUUGCCUCCUCCAACCCACACGGGAUGACACCCCAGUCGACGGAUCUGGACUGGUCGGAGUCCGAUCCGCUCUCUACCAUGGCGGAGAAGAUCGAAAUCCGUCGGAGGUGAGCUCGGGUGGCGGAGGGAAGGGGAGAGGAGUGGAGUGAUGUGGCUAGGGUUUGCUCCGGCAAGCGGAUGGGGAUGAAUAUAAGUGGGGUCUGGUGGGCCAGUAUGGGCCGGGUCCGACGUGGCGGGCAUGCCGGGGCGCCCCCAUAUCCGCCCCAUAUUUAGCUGGAUAUGGGGGUGCCGGUUAGCCCGGGCGUUUCAGGUCCGUCUGAGAGGCCCGUCAGUGUCAAAAAAUCAUGAUCGGUCAGUGAUCGGGCGGCCAGCCCGGGCGUAUGAGGGGUGACCCAUUUCUUAUAGAAAAAUCGGUUGUUUUUUUAUAUGAAGGGAAAUCAACUAUUUGCUCAUAGAGAAAUGUAACAUAUUUUUAUAGUGAACAAUAUCACAUACCUUAAAUAAUAAAUUCCCGAGAAGGGAAAUCAACAAUUUUCUCCUAGAACAAUAUCAUGAACAAGUGAUUUAUAAGUUAGCCUAAAUUUAUUAAAAUCAGGAUGCAACUUAUAAAUCAUUAAACGUUUUAUGAUAUUUUUUAUGCGGUUGUUACUUUUGACCAAUAGAGCCGCAUUAAACUUCAUUGUCCUUCUGGCACAACUAUUUACAUCUCACACAUAAUGCUUACUUCUUAAAUGCCGUAGUUUAAUUGGAAGAGGGAAGGGAGGGAGGGAGAGAGAGAAUGUUGCAUUGCAGCGAGAGAGGCAAAGGGAGGGAGAAGUUAAACAGUGUGAGAUGUAAAUCAAGUGCAUGGUUAAAGUCUGGGUGGAGAUGGAAGGUCUGAUUGCGAUCUAGAUGCACCAUUCAAAAAUGUGGUGAGCCUGGGCUCGGGAGGAAGAGAGGCAAAGAUAAUGGGUGGAGGAAGAUAAGGAAAAGAGUAAUUUAACGGUAAAAAAGACAAUAUUCGCUGAUGUACAUGAGGAAACUAAAGGUACUCCACUUGUUCUAAAUUAAUGUAUCUUUCUCACGAAUCAAUGUGGAACUGUGUAUUGACAUUCCUCCUUAUCUGGAAUCUCCAUUUGCACCAUCUAGAAGAAAAAUUGAGGAAGAGACUAAAAGGCACAUACAUGAGUAGCCUGAUUCUUGUCUUAGAAAGUUGAUUCUUAUAUAUAUGUCUUGGAUUAAAAAGAGCAUGAGAACUUGCCAAGCCAUCUGAAUAUGCCAUCAUAGCCAAAACUUUUUUUAGGUUGCUGACAACAUUGAGCUGGACUUGCUUUUGUUGCUACUAUUGCUGAAAACAAACUCCAGAAAAGGGAGUGAAAGCAGAAAGAAGAGAGGUUGCACAAGAUGAGUAAUGAUGGGUAGCAAUAGAGGCCGAAGCUGUGAUGAUGAUGCGGAUCUGACCCCAUUAGUAUGUUUCCCAUCAAGGAAACCUACAAAUUCUAUUAUGAUACAAAUUUUCUAUUAUGAGGUGUGUUUCUCAUAAAGAAUGUGAUUUCUGCAUGAUAGUUUUCUAAAAAUGUGAAGGUUUUAUGCAAAGACUGACAUUUUAGAAGGAUGUAGUAAAAUAUAAACCUUGGUAGGUACUCCUGAAGUUGAAGCUGCUCAAGCAAUAGUAAUUUUUUCCGAGCA
rnacentral:lncRNA from 1 species